UCGAACGGGGCCACCAUUUUUGAAGCGAUUAGCUUGCUAAGAGUGGACAUGUUGGCGGCUUAGUGGCGGACGGGUGAGUAACGCGUGGGCAACCUGCCAUAUACAGGGGGAUAACACUUAGAAAUAGGUGCUAAUACCGCAUAAGCGCACGGAGCUGCAUGGCUCAGUGUGAAAAACUCCGGUGGUAUAUGAUGGACCCGCGUCUGAUUAGCUUGUUGGCGGGGUAACGGCCCACCAAGGCGACGAUCAGUAGCCGGCCUGAGAGGGUGGACGGCCACAUUGGGACUGAGACACGGCCCAAACUCCUACGGGAGGCAGCAGUGGGGAAUAUUGGACAAUGGGGGGAACCCUGAUCCAGCGACGCCGCGUGAGUGAAGAAGUAUUUCGGUAUGUAAAGCUCUAUCAGCAGGGAAGAAAGAAAUGACGGUACCUGACCAAGAAGCCCCGGCUAACUACGUGCCAGCAGCCGCGGUAAUACGUAGGGGGCAAGCGUUAUCCGGAUUUACUGGGUGUAAAGGGAGCGUAGACGGUAAUGCAAGUCUGGAGUGAAAUGCAGGGGCUCAACCCCUGAACUGCUUUGGAAACUGUAUGACUGGAGUGCAGGAGAGGUAAGUGGAAUUCCUAGUGUAGCGGUGAAAUGCGUAGAUAUUAGGAGGAACACCAGUGGCGAAGGCGGCUUACUGGACUGUAACUGACGUUGAGGCUCGAAAGCGUGGGGAGCAAACAGGAUUAGAUACCCUGGUAGUCCACGCCGUAAACGAUGAUCACUA
rnacentral:rRNA from 1 species